rnacentral:tRNA from 1 species
UCCGCGAUAGCUCAAUGGUAGAGCAAUCGACUGUUAAUCGAUUGGUUUUAGGUUCGAGUCCUACUCGCGGAGCCA